rnacentral:rRNA from 1 species
AUUGAACGCUGGCGGCAGGCCUAACACAUGCAAGUCGAGCGAGCGGCGGACGGGUGAGUAAUGUAGGGGGACUGCCCGAUAGAGGGGGAUAACUACGGGAAACGGUGGCUAAUCCCGCAUACUAUCGGAUAACCCAUAUGGGAGUAGCUAGUAGGUAAGGUAAUGUCGUACCUAGGCGACGAACCCUAGCUGGGAUGAGCGGAUGAUCAGCCACACUGCGACUGAGACACGGCGCAGACUCCGACGGAGGAAGCAGUAGGGAAUAUUUCACAAUGGGCGCAAGCCUGAUGCAGCCAUGCCGCGUGUAUGAAGAAGGCCCUAGGGUUCGAAAGUACUUUCAGUCGGGAAGCGUUACCGACAGAAGAAGCCCCGGCUAACUCCGUGCCAGCAGCCGCGGUAAUUC